GACAGAGGAUGCAAGCGUUAUCCGGAAUGAUUGGGCGUAAAGCGUCUGUAGGUGGCUUUUCAAGUCCGCCGUCAAAUCCCAGGGCUCAACCCUGGACAGGCGGUGGAAACUACCAAGCUGGAGUACGGUAGGGGCAGAGGGAAUUUCCGGUGGAGCGGUGAAAUGCAUUGAGAUCGGAAAGAACACCAACGGCGAAAGCACUCUAGCUGGGCCGACACUGACACUGAGAGACGAAAGCUAGGGAGCAAAUGGGAUUAGGAAACCCUGGUGA
rnacentral:rRNA from 1 species